GGGGAUGUAGCUCAGUGCUAGAGCGCAUGCUUCGCAUGUAUGAGGUCCUGUGUUCAAUCCCCAGCUUCUCCA
rnacentral:tRNA from 1 species